ACCUUAUAUCUAUUCCAGAUGCUAUCGCAUGAGAAGGCCAGGAGGACCAGGAUUGUUGCCAGAGCGGGACAGCGGGCAGUUAGAUGCCAAAUGGCGGCAGCAGGUGGAUUGCGAUGCGUGGCGGCAAAUCAACUGCACAUCCAGAGAUGCCGGCUCAAUGCAGCUGUGUCACAGCAGCACACUAAAGAAGACCAGCCAUUAAUGGUGCGCCACAGAAAGUCUGGAGCAAAAGUCAACCAAGUAGAGGGUCAGCUAGUCAGUAGCAGCCACCAUUUCAAAGAGACCAGUGCAGGAGCCGUUCAGAAGUGGCGCAUCACAGGCAGCCAUACAUGGUGCAGCAGAUGCACCCAGGCGCACAUAGUACAAAAGAGAGUCGCAGCUCACAGGUCGUCUCCGAAAGAGAAUAUAACCAGUGAAAUAUACAAGAACAUAGGGUUAUGUGUUCCAGUCAAGCAGCCGUGCCAAAACAUUGGCGUAAUCCUUACGCUUUGGAUUAAUUUGACGUGUUGCCCUGUUUGUCAGUCAGGGCAGACGGAGGUAGCGCAGAGGCCAUUACAAGUGACAGGACCGACAUCUCUAUCAGCUUCUUCUGGC
rnacentral:sRNA from 1 species